AAAAAAAACAACAGAUAUGAAUGCUAAGCCCUGAGUUCUCACAAUCUCACAGACUCACUGUUCGUCUGUUCUAUGCCACUCCGCCCCUGCCUCCACCCUUCCGCCGUCGCCGUUUCUCCUCCAAUCGGCUGCCGCUACCUUCACUGCCUCUUCCGUCGUCGCCGUUUGUCCUCCAGACACUAGUCAGCGCCGUUUCUCCUAGACCGCCGGCGUCCCUUAGACCCUUACUCCUUCGCCAACGACGCCAAGCGCUCCAUACAAUGGAGCGUCCUAGGAAACCAGUCAAACCACAGGGAAUUUGUUUGAAGAAACUGGUACAUGAUAUAUCAUUGCACUUUGAAUAAGGGGUGAGGAAACACCUAAAAAGGGAACAAGCUUUCCCUGUAAAUUUUAGCAAAGAUGCGCUUAGUUCCUCUUCAUCUCUUAAAUGUCACCAUUCAUGCUGCUAAGCACCAGCCAAAAAUUUCAGCAUCAUGUGCCCUUUUCUCUUCAACCUUGCAUAGUUGUCUAGAGAAACAAGAUAAACACCAAGAGCCCUCGAUUUGGUCUGCAGCUCGAAUCCAGAAAUUGAUUGCUUCACAAUCGGAUCCACUACUGUCCAAAGAAAUCUUUGAUUUGGCAUCUUGCCAGCCGAAUUUCAAGCAUUCUUAUGCUGCAUUCCACACCCUCAUCAUUAAACUUGGCCGUGCUCGCCACUUUUCACUCAUGGAGUCCGUCCUAUACUCUCUAAAGUCCCAACCGUUUUCCAUUUCCCCAUCACUAUUCUCAAACAUCAUCCAGAUCUACGGUGAUGCUGGGCUUCCUGACAAAGCCCUCAAAACCUUUUACACAAUCCUGGAGUUCAACAUGAAACCUCGUCCUAAACACCUCAACCAAAUUCUUGAAAUCCUUGUUGCUCAUCAUCAUUUUAUUCGGCCUGCAUUUGACCUCUUCAAAUCUGCUCAUCGGUAUGGAGUCUCACCCAACACCAAAUCUUAUAACAUCCUGAUGCAAGUUUUUUGUUUGAAUGACGAUUUAAGCAUUGCCUACUCGCUGUUUAAUCAAAUGUUUAAAAGAGAUGUUUUGCCAGAUGUGGAGUCGUAUAGAAUCAUGAUGCAAGGGUUGUGUAGAAAGAGUCAAGUGAAUAAAGCUGUUGAUUUGCUGGAGGAUAUGCUUAAUAAAGGGUUCAUUCCAGAUACUUUAAGCUACACCACUUUGUUAAAUAGCUUGUGUAGGAAGAAGCAGCUUAGGGAGGCUUUUAAGCUACUUUGUAGAAUGAAGGUGAAAGGUUGCAAUCCUGACAUAGUUCAUUACAAUACUGUUAUUUUAGGGUUCUGUAGGGAAGGGCGUGCACUUGAUGCUUGUAAGGUACUUGAGGACAUGCCCACAAAUGGAUGCCUACCCAAUUUGGUGUCUUAUAGAACAUUGGUUGGAGGCUUAUGCAGUCAAGGAAUGUAUGAUGAGGCAAAAGGUUAUGUGCAGGAGAUGAUGUCAAAAGGGUUUUCUCUACAUUUUUCGGUUGUUCAUGUAUUAGUCAAGGGCUUUUGCAACCUUGGUAAGAUUGAGGAAGCAUGUGAAGUGGUGGAGGUGUUGUUGAAGCACCAGAACAUUGUGCAUAUUGACACUUGGGCUGAAAUUAUACCUAGGAUUUGUGAGGAGGACAAUGCUGGGAAGUGGGGUGAUAUUUUAAAAGAAAUUACCAAGGUUGAGAUAAAGCCUGACUCAAGAAUAGUGGAUGUUGGUGCUGGUCUUGGUGAAUUUUUGAUCAAUAAAAUUAAAAGCAGAUCAAGUAUGGUUUGAUUGCUUCUUGGAAAAGGAAGUUUAUAUUUCUUGUGAGAAACUUAUUUGUCUUUGCAAGCUUAUAACUCAAAGCAGCAAUCCUCAAUCCCUGUUCUUAUUGUCUAACUGCUGAUUCCCAGUUUUUACUUGAGUUCUUAAAGUGUAGCCUUUGAAGCUAUGAAGUCUUGACCCUAUGAAGUUUCAUUGUCCAGAAUGAAGUUAAAUGUCAUUUGCAAUCAUUGUUGCCAUUUCAAACAGUUGUGGAGAAUGGGACAUCAGAACACUUAGAUUUAAGAUGAUAUUUUUGGAGCUGGAUGGAUGUUUGUCACUCUUGUCUGGCUUCUUAUAGUUGUACUUUGAAAGCCAUGAACUCUGUUAAUAAUACAAAGAUAAACUAUGUUGUUGAAUGGCACAGAGGUAAAUUUAUUCAACACGAAAAUGACAACCCAAAAAAAAAAACAUUACUCAGGAUGUGAAUCUCAAGUUACAUUACAGUACUAGCUCCCUUCCGAUGCUUCUUAGGCCAUUGCCUCAAAUGGGUGCUCUUCAAUCCCUGCUACCGCUCUACUCCGCCUGUCUCUUCUGCCCGCCUCACCUGUUGCCUCGGCCUCAACUCUAAGUGCUCCUGCUUGUUGUCUCAGGGUAUGCUCUAAGUGCCAAUCCAGGAGUUUGAUACCUAUUUUGUAAUGUAUCUAUCUGUAAGCAAAUCUUCUUCAUUAUAUUGGGUUUUGUAAGCAAGUCUUUCUUUGACAUUUGGUUGAAGAACUUCAAUUUUGUCCUCUAAUCUCUAUGGAAUUUCUUUUGAACAAAUAAGUUGAUAUUUUGGACAGUAUGAA